UGUAUCAAUAAACUUUACAUGUGUCUCUUUUAAGGUGCAUUUGACGGAAUUUUUAUCUAGCCUGAUGUUUGCCUUUCGAUUUGGAAUAUUUCAUCUGCUUACGUGUAAUGGCAUUAACAUACAUAAUUUGGCUUAAACAUGUCAUCCUAAUAUUUGCUUUAUAUUUAUUUUUACCUGCUCUAAUUUCCUUUUCCUUUCCUUUCUUUUGAGAUAAUCAAUAAGGCCUAGGUUUGGUUUUCCUCAUACCCCUGUAGGCUUGACAAACACAGAGCUUCGUGAAUCUGUGACUUCGUGAAUCUGUGAAUCAAUGUCUUUGGUCACUUUUUAAACUUCCCAACUAUCAUUUAUUUAAAUAUAUCUUCUGUACUGUUGCAUUUCCUUUUUAUCUGGGACCAAUUGAACAUACGUUGUUAUUAUUUUCUACGACACCUUCAACUCUUGUCCUUUCUCUUUCAGGAUCCUCCAUCAUUUUGUCUCACCAGGCUUAAUGCAGGGUAUUUCUUCAGACUAAUUGUUUGUUUAUAGAAUUCUCCAUCCAGAGUACAUUGAUAGACAUCAUUCCUUUCAAAGAGGACCUAGAUACCUGGGUGUUUCCCAAGGAAGUAUGAAAGCUGAUAUAAACAUGGCAUUUCUGGCAUUCAUCUUCAUGAAUCCAUGAACAAGAGGGAGAAGCAGCAAUGGAUGAUACUUAUGUACAACCCCAAAUAAGAUAGUGUUAAAAAUAAAUUCAAGAGUUAUCUGCCUCGGUCACCUAAGGGUAGGUUCAGAGAAAUGAUGUAAAGGGAUAAGAGUAGAGGAUGGCUAAAAGCAAAGGUGAAAACUGCACCAAAGGCGAUGGAGCAACUUUCCACUGGAUGUCUCAGCUUGGCUCAAGAUGAGUGCGGGAGAUGGAGGUCGAGUCUCUGGACACUUUAUCUGAGGGGCAAGCAGGGUCUUCAUGAGUCAUUCUGCUGUACCCUACUCUGUGUGGUAUGAGUUGGAACCAGAAGAAAUGGAACAUCUAAAGCUGACCAUGAACAAACACUAUGAUGUCUCCCAGCAAACUCUUGACCUCCAGAGGCUCUGCUUUGACCCAGGUACAGUUGACAGCAGUAAUGCUAGG